rnacentral:rRNA from 1 species
UACGUAGGUGGCAAGCGUUGUCCGGAUUUAUUGGGCGUAAAGAGCGUGUAGGCGGCCAGACAGGUCCGUUGUGAAAACUCGAGGCUCAACCUCGAGACGUCGACGGAAACCGUCUGGCUAGAGUCCGGAAGAGGAGUGUGGAAUUCCUGGUGUAGCGGUGAAAUGCGUAGAUAUCAUUUGGAACGCCAAUGGUGAAAACAGGUAGCUGGGGCUGUGCUGACACUGAGACACGAAAGCCAGGGGAGCGAACGGG